rnacentral:rRNA from 1 species
GACGAACGCUGGCGGCGUGCUUAACACAUGCAAGUCGAGCGGUAAGGCUCCUUCGGGAGUACACGAGCGGCGAACGGGUGAGUAACACGUGAGCAAUCUGCCCUUCACUUUGGGAUAACUCCGGGAAACCGGUGCUAAUACCGAAUGCGACCACUUCAGGCAUCUGACGGUGGUGGAAAGUUCCGGCGGUGAAGGAUGAGCUCGCGGCCUAUCAGCUUGUUGGUGAGGUAAUGGCUCACCAAGGCUUCGACGGGUAGCCGGCCUGAGAGGGUGACCGGCCACACUGGGACUGAGACACGGUCCAGACUCCUACGGGAGGCAGCAGUGAGGAAUAUUGCGCAAUGGGGGCAACCCUGACGCAGCAACGCCGCGUGAGUGAGGAAGGUUUUCGGACUGUAAAGCUCUGUCGAGCGGGAAGAAAUGUAUGGUGGCUAAUAUCCAUCAUACUUGACGGUACCGCUAGAGGAAGCACCGGCUAACUCCGUGCCAGCA